rnacentral:lncRNA from 1 species
UAAAACGUAUUUUUUCAUUUCCAAUUUUUUUAAAUGGCUUUAUUAUCAUUAGAUGAACUAUGUUAAAAAAUAAAGAAAAUGAUUCCGAGUUUAAAAAGGCUAAGAUCUUAAAAUUCACAAAAUGAAUGGUUUAGAUUCGUUUUUGGAGGUGACUCAUUUUGACCAUAUCUAGGGUUCAAAUUUAACUUUUUUUUGGGGGGGGAUUGAUUAUUGAGAUGACGAGAGCGUGUGUGCAAAAUUUGAAGUCCUAAAAAUACCACAAACAUGGUUUUCUAGAACUGUCGU